GAGAAGAUAGCUCAGUUGGUAGAGCGCUGUUUGAUUACAGAGGCCCCCGGUUUGAGACCGGGUCUUUUCU
rnacentral:tRNA from 1 species